rnacentral:rRNA from 1 species
UCCAAGCUUUCAGGCCUAACACAUGCAAGUCGAGCGGUAGCACAGGGGAGCUUUGCUCCCUCGGGUGACGAGCGGCGGACGGGUGAGUAAUGUCUGGGAAACUGCCUGAUGGAGGGGGAUAACUACUGGAAACGGUAGCUAAUACCGCAUAACGUCGCAAGACCAAAGAGGGGGACCUUCGGGCCUCUUGCCAUCAGAUGUGCCCAGAUGGGAUUAGCUAGUAGGUGGGGUAAUGGCUCACCUAGGCGACGAUCCCUAGCUGGUCUGAGAGGAUGACCAGCCACACUGGAACUGAGACACGGUCCAGACUCCUACGGGAGGCAGCAGUGGGGAAUAUUGCACAAUGGGCGCAAGCCUGAUGCAGCCAUGCCGCGUGUGUGUAGAAGGCCUUCGGGUUGUAAAGCACUUUCAGCGAGGAGGAAGGUGGUGAACUUAAUACGUUCAUCAAUUGACGUUACUCGCAGAAGAAGCACCGGCUAACUCCGUGCCAGCAGCCGCGGUAAUACGGAGGGUGCAAGCGUUAAUCGGAAUUACUGGGCGUAAAGCGCACGCAGGCGGUUUGUUAAGUCAGAUGUGAAAUCCCCGGGCUCAACCUGGGAA